UUGUAGAAAUAGUCAUAGUUGAUAUGAAGGUUGCUGUUAUCAAUUCAACUUACUGCUUUUUUAGGAGGGAAAUACUUUCUGAUAAAAAGCCUUUGCUCAAAUGUUGUUCUUUCUUCUACAUAGCAAUAGUUCAAUUACAAUACUGACAAUAAGGAUGUGUCUAUUUCCCAGAUUUUAACUUGUUUGCUCUUAAAUACAUGUAGUAAUACAUUAGGCCAAACUUUGCAUAAGGUUGUUUCCUUAUAAUUUCAGGCAUGCUACUGCUUCCAAUUGAAAAUUAUUAUUUUUUAAUAGUUGUUAAAUAGUCAUCCAUUAUUUUGUAUAAACAGAUAGUAAAGAUUAUUUGCUCAAGACAAUGAGAAAAAAAGAAACUUUCUCUAUAAAUACUGGCAAAGGGUGUCACAAAGAAUUCACAAAGCAAAGUUUACAAUUGAAAGUGAUAGUGAAUCAGAUGAAGUGCAGGAGCACAGUAUUCCUAAAAAGCUAAAGGCAUCCAGGGCAAAGAAAACAGAGGCUUGCUGCUCAGCCAGUCUUGCUUCACUUAUAAAAGAGUGAUUAACCAAGGAGAGUCAGUCAGAUGAAGGUAGUGCACUUUGCAAUGAUAAAUGCAA